rnacentral:pre_miRNA from 1 species
UGGUGUUGCUGCUGCUGAUGAUGCUGAGGGUGAUGAUGAUGAGCAUCAUCAUCAUCGUCGUCAUCAUCAUCAUCAUCAUCAUCAUCAUCAUCAUAA